AACUCCAGCCUUUCCUGAGGCAUGGACUAGAUGUCUCCUGAGAGAGCUGGACUUCCUAGGAAAGAGACAUUGUCUAUGACAGUGUAAGAAAUAUGACAGCAAUGUCAGUAACAUCUGGGUGGGGCCUCUUUCUAAAUGCUGUUUGUACAUUCAGAACUCCUAGGCCACUUUUCCUACUGUGAUCUCAUUUCUUUGACUCUCUUCAGGGUUUGGGGAAGAGGGAGCAGUUUCUGAUUUCUUUAAUUAUAUUGUUUACUAUAUUAGAGGAAAUACAGACACUCUCCUGGUGACUUUAUAGGUCAGAAAGACAUACAGCUUAGGAGUCGGAUUUAUUAUUAUUAUUAUUAUUAAAAGUAAGAUUUUUACUUUAGUUUUUAAAAAAGAUGGAGAAGGAUGCCUGUCUAAACUUGUCUUCCUACCUGCAGGUUUUGAAAAUCCUGUAAGCAACCGAAAGUUGUACCUCCCAUCUCUUAGAUGGCCAUGUGUCACCGGGGAAGCCCUUGGGGAUCACUCUGAAGGCCCUUGAGAGUACGAUUUCUGAACUCUAUUCAGACUUGUUUCAGCUUUAAAACUGGACUUUUCUUUUCAGAAUAUUUAAUUAGGCUGGGGACAGAACUGAGUAGAUGAAGGGUUCACCUAGCAUGCAUGGAACCUUGGGUCCAGUCUCCAGCAGGAGUUAAAGUGGGCACAGGGCACAUGCCUUUGACCCUAAUGCUUAGGAAGUAGAGACAGGAGACUUAGAGGUUCAAGGUCAUACAAAACAAGUUCAAGACUGACCUAGGAUAUAUGGAAUAAUGUCUCAAGAACAGUUCUGGUUUUGGUCUGUUUUUGGACAAGCUUUUGGUCUCUUAUAUUAUUAGUGAAGGAAGUAGAAUUUAUUUCUGGCUUCCUUAGACUCUCUGUUAAUAUAUAGGAAUUUUUAUUACACUUAUUUAUCUGUGUGUGUGCAUGUGUGCUGUGUGUGCUGUGCGUGUGUGUGUCUGUGUGUGUGUAUGUGAUGGAGAGCUUGCUAUGGUAUGUAUGUGGAGGUCAGAGGAGUCCGUUCUCUCCUUCCACCAUGUGGGUCCUGGGGAUUGAACUCAGGUUGCCAGGCUUGGUGGCAAGCACCCUCAUCCACUGAGCCAUCUUGCCAGCCCUUAAAGUUUCAGUCUUAAGGCUGAAACUGUUACUUGAACCUAGAAAACCACAUCUCAUCCCCAUUGUGCCCUUUAGGUCAUUUCUCUUUUCCAGAGAUGGGCGGACCAAUUCAGGACCCGGGAGACACCCUAGAGAAGAGAGGCAGGCUCCCUCGGGUCCUGUCUUUUCGCUCUUCAUGGGUCUGUAGCAUUAAAGGUCGUGUGAGCAUCAUGCUUCCAAAGUCAGAUUUCCUUCUUGAGACAGAGCUUGUUUACUUCAGACAUUUCGGCGGGUGGAUUACAUGAGCUUUGCUGUUUUCCUGGUCUUCCAAUUGCUGUCAUUGCUAGCUGCUGUGGUACUUGUAGGGGUGAGAUCUCUCACAGCCCCAGUCUAGAUUAUUUUAGAUGGGGUGAUCCACAUGCAAGUUACUGAUAUGUGAAUAGGCAGUUGCAAUGAAGUUACUCCUCAGGCUGACUUGAUGGUAGCUAUCUUUUCUCUAGUCAUUCAUUAAAUAAACAUUUGUAAGUACUGUCUAUGUAUAA
rnacentral:lncRNA from 1 species